rnacentral:lncRNA from 1 species
UUUCCCUCAGCUUUUCCAUUUUUCCUCCAAUUUCCCCUCAGCUUUUCCAUUAUUUUCCCCUCAGCUUUUCCCUCCAAUUUUCCAUUUUCCCUUUAAUUUUCCCCUCAGCUUUUCCAUUUUCUUUAAUUUUCCCCUCAGAUUUUCCAUUAUUUUCCCUCAGCUUUUCCCUCAAAUUUUCCAUUUUCCCACCAAUUUUCCCCUCAGCUUUUCCAUUAUUUUCCCUCAGAUUUUUUGUUUUUUCCCCUUUUUUCCUCUCAAUUUUUUCCCUUUUUCUCUCAGUCUUUUCUUUCCUCCCCCCCCAAAUUUCCCUCACUUUUUCCCCAAUCCCUUUUUCCCCUCAAAUUUCCCGAUUUUUCCCCUUAUUUUCCUUUUUCUCUCAGAUUUUUCCUUUUUUCUCCCUUUUUCCCCUCAAAUUUUCCUUUUUUUUCCCCCUCUUUUUCCCCCAAAUUCAUUUUCCCCCAUUUUCCCCCCUUUCUGCCCAUUUCCUCCCCAACUCUCCCCCUCAUUCCCUGAUUUUUGCCCAUUUUCCCCCAUAUUUCCCCCUCAACUCCCGGAAAUGUUAAAAAAUAAAGGUUUUUUUUGCCUGUUUUUGUGCUUUUUUUGUCCUUUUUCCCCCCCACCUACCCCCCUUUAACAUCAUUGCUAUGGGGCCGUCCCCAUUUCUCCCCACUUUGGGGCCAAAUUAAGCCCAAAUCUGCCCCCAACACAAACGCACAACAGAAAAUUUGGGGCCUUUUCCUCUUUUUUGCUGAAAUUCUGUCAAAAUCAUUAAAUUUCACCUCAGCACUGCACCUUUGGGGCCAUUCCACUGCUUUUCACCCCAAAAAUCAUCAAAAAAACGCCCCCAACCCCUCGAUCUUCUCCAGAAAUCGAAUGGUUUACGCAAACGUGGUGGAAACAGGGUUUAAAACUGAGAGAAAAAGUGAAAUUUGGGCUACAAACGUUUGAUUUUCUUUAGUACAGGCAUCGCGCCGCCAUGUUGAGUGCGGCAUAUUCCAUAUAUGGGCAUUGUGCCGCCAUGUUGAGUGCGGCGCGUUCCAUAUAUGGGCAUUGCGCCGCCAUGUUGAGUGCGGCGUAUUCCAUAUAUGGGCAUUGCGCCGCCAUGUUGAGUGUGCCGCGCUCUAUGGAUGAAAACUGCGCCGCCAUGUUGAGUGUCCCGCGUUCCAUAUAUGGGCAGCGCACCGCCCCGCUGCAUCACGUGGCGCACGGCCCGCCUUCCUAUUGGCUGGGGUGGUGAGCGGGCGCGGCGCUGCCUCUCCGCCGUUUCGGAGGCGGAAGCGGUGGCUGGCCCCGCACUUCCGGUUUCCGGUGGCGGAGCGGAAGGGGCGGUGCGCAGCGGCGAUGGCGGCGGCGGUGGAGGAGGAGGAGGG